rnacentral:sRNA from 1 species
UUACCUAAGGAAAUGCAACCUCACCACAAGUACAAAGACCAUCUUUCAUGGACUACUUUGAUAAGCAAGACUUCAAGAAUAAGAGUCACGAAAACUGUAAUCAGAACAUGCAUGAACCCUUCCCUAUGUCCAAAAACGUUUUUCCUGAUAACUGGAAAGUUCCUCAAGAUGGAGACUUUGACUUUAUAGAGCCUUACUGGGCCCGUGCAGAUUUUCCACUUCCUCGGCUGUGGCCCUUGGCAUCUGCGGUUAUAUUCAACAGGAGCACCAACGGUGGCCAAGAAGUCACUAGGAUGGUGGCUAAAGGGGAGGAGCUGAGCUACACCCCACUUGAUGGAACGCAAAGACUGUGGUGAGGUUGGAGAGCAGUGCUGUGCAUCCUUCCUCAGCCUUAACGAGUGCGGGGCAAGGUUAACACAGAUUUCUACACCCUUUUGCUGCAUACACAGACGAGGCCACCUGCAGAUGCCACCACUGCUCAGUGAAUCAGCAGAAGCCUUGGAAAGCCUUGUGAGUUCCACAGGACACAGAAUUGCUUGAGCUUGAGCCAAAUUGUCUCUGUUAUCCAUUGCUACAUUAAAAAAACACUUCAAA